AUCCACACGACUCUCGGCAACGGAUAUCUCGGCUCUCGCAUCGAUGAAGAACGUAGCGAAAUGCGAUACCUGGUGUGAAUUGCAGAAUCCCGCGAACCAUCGAGUCUUUGAACGCAAGUUGCGCCCGAUGCCUCUUGGCUGAAGGCACGCCUGCCUGGGCGUC
rnacentral:rRNA from 1 species